CGGUUAAAACGCUCGUAGUUGAUAUUCUGCUGGCAAUUCGGGGUACGCCCUAGUGGCGAUAACUUCAGGAAGUGCUUGCAUCAUCUUAGGGAAUGAUAUUGCACUUCGCUGUGCGAUUCAGAAACUAGGUCAUUUACUUUGAGGAAAUCGAAGUGCUCCAAGCAAGCAUACGCUUUGAACAUUGUAGCAUGGAAUAAUCUUACAAACUCUACUGACAUAGAUGAAUCUGUCAGUGGAGGUUAUGAGGAAUAGAAACAAAUGGGGGCAUUCGUAUUUAACUGCUAGAGGUGAAAUUCUUGGAUUUGUUAAAGACGAUCAACUGCGAAGGCACCUGCCAAGGAUGUUUUCAUUGAUCAAGAACGAAAGUUAAGGGAUCGAAGACGAUCAGAUACCGUCCUAGUCUUAACCGUAAACUAUGCCAACUAGGGAUUGGGGGAUGUUGAUUUUAUGGCACCUUCAGCACCUUUGGAGAAAUCAAAGUGCAUGGGUUCCGGGGGGAGUAUGGUCGCAAGGCUGAAACUUAAAGGAAUUGACGGAAGGGCACCACCA
rnacentral:rRNA from 1 species